GCCGAUUUCACGGUUGCAAGGUACUCCUUGCAAUUUUUCUUCCAGUGGCCCUCCUUACCACAGUGAUAAUAAGUACCUUUAACGGAGACCUUCUUCGCCUUCUUCUUGGAGAUGUCAGCCUUCGGGUUCAAUUUUUUCUUGAAACCCUUUUUUGCCUUCUUCUUGCUGAUCUUAUCAGUAUGAAGAACCUGAGCUUUUUCACCCUUGAAAUGGUUCUCUAUUGUUUUCAGCAUGUUCAGCAGUUCUGGCAAGCUGAUGUUCAAUUUGUUCAUGUGAU
rnacentral:lncRNA from 1 species